rnacentral:rRNA from 1 species
GGAGUUUGGACCGUGUCUCAGUUCCAAUGUGGGGGACCUUCCUCUCAGAACCCCUACUGAUCGCAGGCUUGGUGGGCCGUUACCCCGCCAACAACCUAAUCAGACGCAUCCCCAUCCCAUAGCGGUGAACCUUUGGUAUUCUUCUGAUGGCAUCGGAAUACAACAUAGAGCAUUAAUCCGACUUUCGCCGGGCUAUCCUCUAGUAAGGGGAAGGUUGGAUACGCGUUACUCACCCGUGCGCCGGUCGCCAUCAAAGGAAGCAAGCUUCCUUCAUGCUGCCCCACGACUUGCAUGUGUUAAGCCUGUAGCUAGCGUUCAUC